AUCCUUCUGUAGUCUCUGUGUGAUGACUGAGUUUUCAUGCAGCUGUGUGAGCUGUGCCUCCCACAAAACUUGCUACAACACCAGCACAGUCCUGUUUGAUA